AAACAUUAACAGAAGCAAUAGGGAAAUUCUCCUGGAGCGCUCACACGCUCCCCUCCCCACAGCACCACAGGUGGUUUUAACAUGCGUUCUUGGGGUCAGAGGCCUGGCACAGAGGGUAAGAGAGCUAAGUGUGUAAGACAGAGGACCCCAAAGCUCAGCAACAAGUAGAAGCUGGGCACCACAGAGUGUGGGGGUGCGGACAGAUUCCCAGGAACUCAUGGGCCAGUCAGUCUAGUAGAAAGAGGAAGCUGCAGGUUCAGCGAAGGGUUUUUGUCUCAAAGGAAUAAAAUGCAGGUUGGCAGAUGGACAAGACCACACCUCAUGUUCUCUUCUGGUCUUCACACACACACACACACACACACACACACUGUUUUAACUACUCACCACUUUCAAAAAGCAUCUGCCCAUUUUCAGACAUUUCCAAUAUAGUUUUUGCUUCCACCCUAAGAAAACAGCUUCCCUGGAAAUUGUCGAUAGAUGUACUACUUACUAGUUAACAUGCCUGAGAACCAUGAUCUUCCCCUUCCGUGCUCAUUCUCCGGCACUCUGGGUGCUAAUGUCAUUGACUCCUCCUCUGACGCUCUCCACUUGUCUUUUGUGACGCAUAUAUGCUCGUGUGGGUCUGCUUCCGGCCUUGAUGUGUCCGGUGCACCGAGCUGGACUGGAAGGAAGAAGCUUUGCGGAAGGCUGGGUUAGCAGGAUCCCGGUCUGGCCGCUGGAACAGGAGAAACAGCCUUCUCUGUGGCGGUUUUCAGGGAAACAGCUCUUUACCGGAGGAGCUGUGUGGCUUCAUUUGACCGAACCUCCAGCCCCUCAAAUACUUUCAGCUGCAUUUGUCUCUAUUUGACCCGUGCGAACACUGUGCAUUCAUGUCGAUCGCACACUGUGGACCUGGGCCCCACCUGAUUCUUGGAUUCUUUCCUGGUCCUUGGAGCAGUGUCACAGAGCUUCGUGGGGUAGGAAGCCUCCUCCACGGCAGAAAGCUAUGCCUGUGGAUGCCUUUCGCCCUUCUGGAGCACACCAUCCUUAGCAACCCUCUUUAAGACAGAUUUGGGUGCCCAGACUUGAGGAAAUGCCCAGAUGCUCAAUCCUACACUGCCUGCUUUCAUGCAGAGAAGACAUCAUCACCCAGGAAGAAUAUACAUUCUUCUUCAACAUGCUUCUGAGGAGAUAGCCUUGGCAAACACACAUGUCUCAUUCUUAACCAAACCCUACCCAAGUGAGACUAUAUAUAAUAUAGAUUAGUUGAUAUAUAUGUAUAUAUAAACAUAUAGAUAUAUCAACUAACCUGAAGAAGUGGAGUCAAGAUGAGACCUCCCUUUCCUAAAUCAAUGUUCUCAGCUUUUCAAUGUCUUACACUGUGAUUCUUCAACAGAAUCCUCAUGCUUCCAAUUGAAACAUACUUAAAAACAAAACAAAACAUUAGACAGAAAGUUUUGAUGCUGAGUUUUGUUUGAGUUCCAUAUCACAAACCAUCUUCCUAUACCUCAAAAUCUGAUUUUUUUUUUUUUUUUACUUACACUUUUGUUCCUAUGCACUUGUGACAUGAGGUCCAAGUACAUUACUUACAUGAAAAAGAAAAGUCUGACAGAUGUCAUGUUUGUUGUAGCAAGUUUCAUAAUUCACUGAAGCUAUUUAGGGAAGAAAGGUUCUCAGGGGGCAGAGGCAGAGCUCUGUGAGCCUGAGGCCGGCCACAGUGAAACCUGCCUAAAAUGAAGAAGAAAUGGGUAUUUGGUGGCUGCUUUUGUUUUUGACAGGGUCUUACUCUGUAGUCCAGGCUGGUCUUAAAUCUACAGCCCUGUCUCCACUGCAGCCUCGUGAGUGGCGAGAUCUGAGUUUCCGGCUUCUCAGACAGGAAUUUACUGACCUGUGAGACACUCACAGGACCUUUGCGAUGGACAGAGAACUGCUCAGCCCAGGCAGGUGGCCACCCGUGCUGUGGGGUCGUAGCCGGGUCCAGGGCUCCUUCCCCAGUCUCCAGAGAAGAAUCCUUUUCUCACAGCACAUAAGAAAAUGCCACUUCUUCAUGUGUUCUGUCUUACAUAGCUGAAUCGCCUUUGUGAAACCCACACGGUUGUCCCGAGUUUUCCUUUUCUGAAAAUGAUGAGGGCACAGUGGAAACUCAGACAGUACAAAAGGAGCACCGAGCGCUCGUCCUGACAAAGGCCCUGCCUUUCUUCAUGCUUGGCUCUUCUUACCGAAGGGGAAAAGAAUCUGUCCUGGAAAAAAAAAAAAAAAACAGACAGUAAGGAGCCUUGCUAAUGAGUGGGCUUCCACAGCUGUUUCCAGACCCCAGCAUCCGUGCCGAGGCGGGACUGUACCUACUGUGUGCUAGUCUGCUUAGACAAUGGUCUGAUGGCCUUUCCUCCGCCCAUAAACACGAAAUUAUCAGACAAUAAACAACCAUAGUUGUGUCUGAAGUAUUGUUUUUAAAAUAAAAUUUGUUUGUCUCUCCUGAA